UACGGAGGGCGCAAGCGUUGUUCGGAAUUACUGGGCGUAAAGCGCGUGUAGGCGGCCAGGUAAGUCGGAUGUGAAAGCCCGGGGCCCAACCCCGGAACUGCACCCGAUACUGCCUGGCUGGAGUCCCGGAGAGGAUGGCGGAAUUUCCGGUGUAGAGGUGAAAUUCGUAGAGAUCGGAAGGAACACCAGUGGCGAAGGCGGCCAUCUGGACGGUGACUGACGAUGAGACGCGAAAGAGUGGGGAGCAAACAGG
rnacentral:rRNA from 1 species